rnacentral:lncRNA from 1 species
GUCGUGAAGAGAGCAUCGACACUCUGGCUGCUGGCUUCAUCAAGAGGAAGCACAAGGGCUUUGAACUCAGCAAAUGGAACACCUUCAAGUUGUCGUCUUAGGCUUCUUUCAAGCACGCAUGUUGGUCACAGUUGACUGACUGGCAGAGACAAAAGCACCCCUUUUUAGCGUUACCAGCAGUACAAUAAGUUCUAGUCCUAAUUAAAUAAAUGGCCUGCCUUUGAUGUGUUGUUAGCACAUAUAAAUAGCUAGUGCGAAUGUUGUUUGUGUUUGCUUGGAUGGCAUACAUCCUUGUUUAAUUUGGAUGCAUUUUGCAUUUUUUUUUCCUAUAUGUAAAAAAGAUUUUUGUAUAAAUGAGGAGUGCGAAUUGUUCUAUUUUGCAUAUAAAUAGCUGGCGCGAAUGUUCCCGUUAAUAUAUAUAACCGAUAUUGAGUGAAUUGACAAAACAUAAAAGAACUAGAUGCAUGCAACCAUAUAUAUCAUCAAUCCUAAAGAAUCAAAGAGAAAAAUUUCUGGGCAACUGAAGUUAAAAUAAUACAGCUAACAUUUCUAUUAGUUGUUGUCAUAAUGAACCAGAAAACGCACAAAUUAAUAUUAAUUAUUUUUCUAAUAAAGGUUACAUCUUCUUGAAAAGAAACGAUUAAACAAAUUUCUGAGGCUAUUCUUACUCUCUCUUCGCCGCCUGCGUACAGGAACAGGAUCAUCUAACCCGGAAAAUGGAUUAUCCAACGAUAAACCUGCCUCUAACUUUUUGGACACGGUCACAAGCUCGUAGGAGUCCCAUAGCGAUUGCCCGAAAUCCCAAUUUGCACU